rnacentral:lncRNA from 10 species
AGGUCCAGCUCAACUUUGGAUGUUGUGAAACUCAUAAAGCUGCAAUAGCCCACAACAUGACUGACAGCAUAAUGUAGUAUAAAGAACAUCAGAUGGGGAGUCAGAAGAGCUGGGUUCCAGCCCUAACAUCUGGUGGAAUCCUGGCCAAGUGUCUUCCCUCUCUGAACCUAAGCGUCUUCCUGUCAACAAAGAAGACCUCAAGUUGCAUGUUGUUCAAAAGCCCUUUCUGAUUCCGAAUGUCUGUAUGUCUCUGUAGCAAUGUUCUCAUAUUGAAAUUUCUCUGUGCCUAUGG